AUUGAACGCUGGCGGCAUGCCUUACACAUGCAAGUCGAACGGCAGCACGGGAGCAAUCCUGGUGGCGAGUGGCGAACGGUGAGUAAUAUAUCGGAACGUGCCCAGUCGUGGGGGAUAACGUAGCGAAAGCUACGCUAAUACCGCAUACGAUCUACGGAUGAAAGCGGGGAUCGCAAGACCUCGCGCGAUUGGAGCGGCCGAUAUCAGAUUAGGUAGUUGGUGAGGUAAAGGCUCACCAAGCCGACGAUCUGUAGCUGGUCUGAGAGGACGACCAGCCACACUGGGACUGAGACACGGCCCCAGACUCCUACGGGAGGCAGCAGUGGGGAAUUUUGGACAAUGGGCGCAAGCCUGAUCCAGCAAUGCCGCGUGCAGGAUGAAGGCCUUCGGGUUGUAAACUGCUUUGUACGGAACGAAACGGUGAGCUCUAAUACAGUUUGCUAAUGACGGUACCGUAAGAAUAAGCACCGGCUAACUACGUG
rnacentral:rRNA from 1 species